UACGUAGGCAGCGAGCGUUGUUCGGAGUUACUGGGCGUAAAGGGUGUGUAGGCGGUUGUUUAAGUUUGGUGUGAAAUCUCCCGGCUCAACUGGGAGGGUGCGCCGAAUACUGAAUGACUUGGAGUGCGGGAGAGGUGAGUGGAAUUCCUGGUGUAGCGGUGAAAUGCGUAGAUAUCAGGAGGAACACCGAUGGCGAAGGCAGAUCUCUGGGCCGUAACUGACGCUGAGGAGCGAAAGCGUGGGGAGCGAACAGG
rnacentral:rRNA from 1 species